GAUGAAGAACGUAGCGAAAUGCGAUAAGUAAUGCGAAUUGCAGAAUUCAGUGAAUCAUCGAAUCUUUGAACGUACAUUGCGCCCCCUGGUAUUCCGGGGGGCAUGCCUGUCCGAGCGUCAUUGCUGCCCUCAAGCACGGCUUGUGUGUUGGGCCUCCGUCCUCCUCCCGGGGGACGGGCCCGAAAGGCAGCGGCGGCACCGCGUCCGGUCCUCGAGCGUAUGGGGCUUCGUCACCCGCUCUUGUAGGCCCGGCCGGCGCUUGCCGACACAUCAAUCUUUUUUCCAGGUUGACCUCGGAUCAGGUAGGGAUACCCGCUGAACUUAAGCAUAUCAAUAAGCGGAGGA
rnacentral:misc_RNA from 1 species